AGUCUGACGGAGCAACGCCGCGUGAGUGAAGAAGGGUUUCGGCUCGUAAAACUCUGUUGUCAGGGAAGAACGUCCCCGUGAGUAACUGCACGGGGAGUGACGGUACCUGACCAGAAAGCCACGGCUAACUACGUGCCAGCAGCCGCGGUAAUACGUAGGUGGCAAGCGUUAUCCGGAAUUAUUGGGCGUAAAGCGCGCGUAGGCGGUCUGUUAAGUCUGAUGUGAAAGCCCCCGGCUCAACCGGGGAGGGUCAUUGGAAACUGGCAGACUUGAGUGCAGAAGAGGAGAGUGGAAUUCCAUGUGUAGCGGUGAAAUGCGCAGAGAUAUGGAGGAACACCAGUGGCGAAGGCGGCUCUCUGGUCUGUAACUGACGCUGAGGUGCGAAAGCGUGGGGAUCAAACAGGAUUAGAUACCCUGGUAGUCCACGCCGUAAACGAUGAGUGCUAAGUGUUAGGGGGUUUCCGCCCCUUAGUGCUGCAGCUAACGCAUUAAGCACUCCGCCUGGGGAGUACGGCCGCAAGGUUGAAACUCAAAGG
rnacentral:rRNA from 1 species